CAGGAGAUAGUUUAAAUAAAAGAAACGGCAGCUUUGGGAGUUGCUAGUGUAAGUGAAAAUCCUACUCACCUGA
rnacentral:tRNA from 1 species